GUCACCAUUCUAACCCUGAAGUAUUGAAGUGGUGCAGGCUGGGCGGCUCCUGUGUGACGGAACCAUCUGGAUUACUAGAUGGAACAGCAGUGACCAUCGAUAGGAGUGUCCCCAAUGUUUUUACUGUAGCUAUGAGGGGACUGAGGACAGAGAGCAGUGGUUGGUAUUUGUGUGUCCAGGGAGACUUACAGAUGCCAGUACAUUUAACUGUUAAAGAGAAAUCUACAAGUGACCAAGAACCGACCUUGUCACUAACUCCUGCAUGUGAGGUUCCUACACCUAGGUUGGUGUAGCUUUUAUUUUACCAUACAAUAUUCAGAGCUUCAGUUAAAUUAAUGUGUGCGUUUUUUUUUUGUGUUUUUUUUUAAAUUGAUUUCCAUUGUGUGCUUAAAAUGUGCCGUUCCUCCAGUUUCUUAACCAGUUUUACCAUCCGUCUGAGCCUGUUGGUCUUGUUUGUAAUGGUGACCUCGUUCAUCUUGUUUAUGGUCAAAAAACGUAGUAAGUAUACGGUAAAGUGACGACUUUAUGUGAAAAAUAUCUGGUUAUUUUGGAAUAUAAUAGUUUGAAAUGAGGACUACUGUGAAUCAUUGUCAUUGAUCAUUCUCAGUGAGUCAUUUUAUUGUCUCUCUUUUAGACCAGACAAAAGAAUCUUCAGCCACAACACUGGUAAAACAUGCAGAUUCAUUUCCCAAUAAAUGUUUUCAUCAAGAAGGCUUUUUUCUAUGUUUACUUUGUAUAUGGAACCUUUUUUCAUCAUUGAUAAGAAGGUACAGUCACUGCAACUGAACCUCAACCAAUCAUGUCUUUGAUCAUAAAGCAGUACUAUAGUCUUGGGAAGAUGGUCAUGUUGAUGUAACCUAAGAAACUUGUGUGGUCUUUCUGUAAAUGACAUUUGUUUGUCUCCUUCUCGGGAACAACAGGAAGAAGUAAGAUACACAUCAGACGGUGCUGUGACCUUCAACCUUUAAAGCAUAGUAUGUUAUACACUAGAGUGUAUAACAUACUAUGCUUUAAAGGUUGAAGGUCACA
rnacentral:lncRNA from 1 species